rnacentral:rRNA from 1 species
AAGAGUUUGAUCCUGGCUCAGGAUGAACGCUGGCGGCGUGCCUAACACAUGCAAGUCGAGCGUGAACCCUGCGAAUGAAACUUCGGUCGAUUUUGCAGGGGGAAAGCGGCGGACGGGUGAGUAACGCGUAGGUAACCUGCCCCAUACUGAGGGAUAGCCUCGGGAAACCGGGAUUAAUACCUCAUAACACCGUAUAUUCGCAUGGAUGUGCGGUCAAAGAUUUAUCGGUAUGGGAUGGGCCUGCGUCUGAUUAGCUGGUUGGUGGGGUAACGGCCUACCAAGGCGACGAUCAGUAGCCGACCUGAGA